CGCACAUUGCGCCCCUUGGUAUUCCAUGGGGCAUGCCUGUUCGAGCGUCAUCUACACCCUCAAGCUCUGCUUGGUGUUGGGCGUCUGUCCCGCCUCAGCGCGCGGACUCGCCCCAAAGGCAUUGGCGGCGGUCCACGGCACCUCUCGCGCAGCACAUUGCGCUUCUCGAGGCGGCCCGGCCCGCGACCACGGAGCCCACAUUACCGUCUUUGACCUCGGAUCAGGUAGGGAUACCCGCUGAACUUAA
rnacentral:misc_RNA from 1 species